UGGCUCAGUGGUAGAGUGCUUGCCUUGCAUGCAUGAGGCCUUGGGUUUAAUUCCUUA
rnacentral:tRNA from 1 species